rnacentral:lncRNA from 1 species
UAAAGAGUUUUAGGAAGAUCCAUCUUCGGUAUAGCAUGAAGUGUCUACCUAAGUAUGCUAAUCUAGGGUGUAGCACAUCUCUUCUUCCUAGGCAUGGAUCAUCUUAGACUACUUUAGCAAACAUGAAUAGUAAAUGGCAUGCUCAAGGUUUAAACAUCAUAAAAUAAUUUUUCAUUGAGAAUGAGAAUUUAAACAAACUCCAAAAAGAUUAAAAGAGUAAGAACUACAAUGCCCUGUUACAUUGCUAGGGCUUCAUCCAGCCCUAGA